GAGUUGAUCCCUGGCUCAGGAUAAACGCUGGCGGCGCACAUAAGACAUGCAAGUCGAACGAACUUAACCUUUAGUUUACUAUAGGAGCGGUUAGUGGCGGACUGGUGAGUAACACGUAAGCAACCUGCCUAUCAGAGGGGAACAACAGUUAGAAAUGACUGCUAAUACCGCAUAUACCUAAGUAUCGCAUGAUACAAUAGGGAAAGGAGCAAUCCGCUGAUAGAUGGGCUUGCGUCUGAUUAGAUAGUUGGUGGGGUAACGGCCUACCAAGUCGACGAUCAGUAGCCGGACUGAGAGGUUGAACGGCCACAUUGGGACUGAGAUACGGCCCAGACUCCUACGGGAGGCAGCAGUCGGGAAUAUUGCGCAAUGGAGGAAACUCUGACGCAGUGACGCCGCGUGCAGGAAGAAGGUUU
rnacentral:rRNA from 1 species